CCUUCGAUAGCUCAGUUGGUAGAGCGGUGGACUGUAGAGGUUACGAAAUAGACAUCCAUAGGUCGCUGGUUCAAAUCCGGCUCGAAGGA
rnacentral:tRNA from 1 species